UCGUCCUACGGGAGGCAGCAGUGGGGGAUAUUGCACAAUGGGGGAAACCCUGAUGCAGCGACGCCGCGUGAGUGAAGAAGUAUUUCGGUACGUAAAGCUCUAUCAGCAGGGAAGAAUAAUGACGGUACCUGACUAAGAAGCCCCGGAUAACUACGUGCCAGAAGCCGCGGUAAUACGUAGGGGGCAAGCGUUAUCCGGAUUUACUGGGCGUAAAGGGAGCGUAGACGGCUGUGCAAGUCUGGAGUGAAAUGCCGCAGCUUAACUGCGGGACUG
rnacentral:rRNA from 1 species